rnacentral:lncRNA from 1 species
CAAGUUCUCACCUCACAAUACUGUUCAGCAUGCGUUGCAUUACAGUUUCAAGCUUUUAUAAGAAUAUUUCAUUUAUCAUUUUCAUUAUUUGUCUUGUUAUGUACAACUGUUGAAAAAACACUCAACAGAACGGGUAAAAAUAAAAAUAAAAACAAUUAACCAAUAGAAACCGUAACUUUAGUAAAAGCGUUCAAUAAUGUCUUGACGUUCUUUAAAACCACGGUCGUAGUGGUUUUGGGAUAUAUAAUAAUUAAUUUCACGGUUGUCACUUAAAAAAAAAAAAGUAGAAAAAAAAAGUAAUCAAAUAAAUAAAUUAGUAGUUGCGAGAAGAAACCAAAGUUGGAAAAGAAUAUUACCGGCGACUCCGUUGGUUUGUAAAACAAACAAUGCGAUGGUUUAGAAUGACGGUGGC